GGUAGGGUAUUGGCCUACCGUGGCAAUGACGGGUAACGGGGAAUUAGGGUUCGAUUCCGGAGAGGGAGCCUGAGAAACGGCUACCACAUCUAAGGAAGGCAGCAGGCGCGCAAAUUACCCAAUCCUAAUACAGGGAGGUAGUGACAAGAAAUAACAAUACAGGACUUUUUGGUUUUGUAAUUGGAAUGAGUUAAGUAUAAACCCCUUUACAAGUAUCAAUUGGAGGGCAAGUCUGGUGCCAGCAGCCGCGGUAAUUCCAGCUCCAAUAGCGUAUAUUAAAGUUGUUGCAGUUAAAAAGCUCGUAGUUGGAUUUCUGUUAAUAAUUUAUAUAAAAUAUUUUGAAUAUUUAUAUAACAUUAACAUAAUUCAUAUUACUAUAUUUUUUAGUAUAUGAAAUUUUACUUUGAGAAAAUUAGAGUGCUUAAAGCAGGCAUAUGCCUUGAAUACUCCAGCAUGGAAUAAUAUUAAAGAUUUUUAUCUUUCUUAUUGGUUCUAAGAUAAGAAUAAUGAUUAAUAGGGACAGUUGGGGGCAUUUGUAUUUAACAGUCAGAG
rnacentral:rRNA from 1 species